GACUCGAGCCGAAGUCUCUCCGAUUUUAUACGAUCUCUCCCGAUCUCGCGCACAGGCCACACGGCGGAACUGCGCGUUCUCCUCGCCUCUUGCUCGUUUUUCUCUGCUCCAGACGCGUUUCCACCAUGGUGGACAUCAUGCUGUUGAUGUUCUUCGCCAUCAUGGGCCUCGUCUUCCUCUCCUACAUCAUCUACAUGCUGUGAUGGACGCCAGCUGCUGCACAGGAGAAGCUCCGGCUCCUGCAUCCCGGUUUCCAUCGAGAUGCAAGGAUCCGGUCCGAGCCAUGAUGACUCAAAUCCCAGACCUCAGGUGGGAAGUGAGGGGGUCCAGAGGAAGACCAGCCCUCCUACUUAUCAUCAUCAUCAUCACUGCCCUUCCUCCCCUUUUUAUUACCCUGAAAAUGAACCAUCCAACUAAACUCAGCUCUGAUGCCCCUGAACUGAAUUCUGUCCUCGCUGUUUAAGAGGAAGCACAAGUGUGGAUGCUGGACGGCUCUUUUUUGUGUGUGUAUGUGUAGAUUUUUUUUAGCCAACACCAAAAGCCAGUAAUUUAUUUUGAUGUGCAAUAUUCUGAUUCCAAAUAGUUCUUUUUCAUACGAGUGACAGAUUCUUAGCCUUUAUUUCUCAUAGUUCAUAUUUGCUGUUAGAUCUCAGUCAUAUUGAAAUAUUCAAUGCAUUAAAGACCCACUCCGAUCGUUUUUUUAAUCUAUUUUCAUAAUGACAUUUUAGCCAAAAUAAAGAAGAAAAUAGUUUCUGCAGAACAACUAUAGAAAUUCACCUCUAGAUUGGUGCAGAGCAACCCCGCCGCCCCUUCCCGCCACCCAUAACUGAGAGCUGUCUGUUUACAUGCUAGCUGACACCUCCAAUUUAACAUUCACAGCAAUUCUAAAACAUAAAUAUCCAGAAAUGCAAUUCAAUUUUCUUUAUAAAUGUCCUCCAUCUUCAGAAAAAUAACCCAAGAAUUUUCAUCGGAAUGGGUCUUUAAUGUUAAAUUGUAGUUUCUCAUAUCAAAAAAAUGUUUGCAAUCUUUCAGUUUACCUGAAUAUUAUUUUAAUAUGUUUUAUGCACUUAUAAUAACUGAAAAUAUUUUACACUGUGCCACAAAAAUAUUUAUUGAACCAGUUUUUCUUUUUUGUACUGUAAAGUAUAGCUUUAUUUAUAACAAAAAAGAGUUGCAUGCACCUGUCCGAGCAAAUGUGUAGUUCGGUUUAUGCCAAACUUUAUUAAAAAGACUCUUAAAUAUGAAAGAAAAUGUUGUUUCUGAAUUGUAAAUGAUGGGAUGUAAAGCAGAUGUUGUCCAGAAGGUGGUGCUGUUUGACCACUAAAGCUUAAAAAACUGAGCAAAAUAUUUGUCCCAUAAAAAAAAACAAAUUCAGUCGUAUCUUUAAAAAAAAACAUUUUAGGAUAAGAAAAUGUAACGAGAGUGUGAUUUUAUCAAUUAAAAAUGAAGCAACUGCAA